rnacentral:sRNA from 1 species
GAAUCUCGUAGUCGGGGGUGUCACCAU